rnacentral:rRNA from 1 species
AUGAACGCUGGCGGCGUGCUUAACACAUGCAAGUCGAACGAACCUUCGGGUUAGUGGCGGACGGGUGAGUAACGCGUGAGAAUCUGCCCUCAGGAGGGGGAUAACGGCUGGAAACGGCCGCUAAUACCCCAUAUGCCGAGAGGUGAAACGAAUUUCGCCUGAGGAUGAGCUCGCGUCUGAUUAGCUAGUUGGUAGGGUAAAGGCCUACCAAGGCAUUGAUCAGUAGCUGGUCUGAGAGGAUGAUCAGCCACACUGGGACUGAGACACGGCCCAGACUCCUACGGGAGGCAGCAGUGGGGAAUUUUCCGCAAUGGGCGCAAGCCUGACGGAGCAACGCCGCGUGAGGGAUGAAGGCCUCUGGGCUGUAAACCUCUUUUAUCAAGGAAGAAGAUCUGACGGUACUUGAUGAAUAAGCCACGGCUAAUUCCGUGCCAGCAGCCGCGGUAAUACGGGAGUGGCAAGCGUUAUCCGGAAUUAUUGGGCGUAAAGCGUCCGCAGGCGGUUUUACAAGUCUGUCGUUAAAGCGUGGAGCUCAACUCCAUUUCAGCGAUGGAAACUGUAAGACUCGAGUGUGGUAGGGGCAGAGGGAAUUCCCGGUGUAGCGGUGAAAUGCGUAGAUAUCGGGAAGAACACCAGUGGCGAAAGCGCUCUGCUGGGCCAUAACUGACGCUCAUGGACGAAAGCCAGGGGAGCGAAAGGGAUUAGAUACCCCUGUAGUCCUGGCCGUAAACGAUGAACACUAGGUGUCGGGGGAAUCGACCCCCUCGGUGUCGUAGCCAACGCGUUAAGUGUUCCGCCUGGGGAGUACGCACGCAAGUGUGAAACUCAAAGGAAUUGACGGGGGCCCGCACAAGCGGUGGAGUAUGUGGUUUAAUUCGAUGCAACGCGAAGAACCUUACCAGGGCUUGACAUCCUGCGAACCUCUGGGAAACCGGAGGGUGCCUUCGGGAGCGCAGAGACAGGUGGUGCAUGGCUGUCGUCAGCUCGUGUCGUGAGAUGUUGGGUUAAGUCCCGCAACGAGCGCAACCCACGUCUUUAGUUGCCAGCAUUUAGUUGGGCACUCUAGAGAGACCGCCGGUGACAAACCGGAGGAAGGUGUGGAUGACGUCAAGUCAUCAUGCCCCUUACGUCCUGGGCUACACACGUACUACAAUGCUACGGACAAAGGGCAGCAAACUCGCGAGAGCUAGCAAAUCCCAUAAACCGUGGCUCAGUUCAGAUCGUAGGCUGCAACUCGCCUACGUGAAGGAGGAAUCGCUAGUAAUCGCAGGUCAGCAUACUGCGGUGAAUACGUUCCCGGGCCUUGUACACACCGCCCGUCACACCAUGGAAGUUGGCCAUGCCCGAAGUCGUUACUUCAACCCGCAAGGGAGGAGGAUGCCGAAGGUGGGGCUGAUGACUGGGGUGAAGUCGUAACAAGGUAGCCGUACCGGAAGGUGCGGCUGGAUCACCUCCUAACAGGGAUAUUAAACAUUGAAUGAUGAUCAUCAAUUUUGUAUGGUCCAUUUAACUGUUCAUCUCUAGGUCGAUCGGUACCUCAAUGACCCUUCAAUUUUAAGU